UUCCCAUCCCGAACACGGUAGUUAAGCUUCUCUGCGCCAAUGGUAGUUGGGGGCUUCCCCCUGCGAGAGUAGGUCGCUGCCGGGC
rnacentral:rRNA from 1 species